CUCGUAGGCGGUUCGUCGCGCCCGGUGUGAAAGUCCAUCGCUUAACGGUGGAUCUGCGCCGGGUACGGGCGGGCUGGAGUGCGGUAGGGGAGACUGGAAUUCCCGGUGUAACGGUGGAACGUGUAGAUAUCGGGAAGAACACCGAUGGCGAAGGCAGGUCUCUGGGCCGUCACUGACGCUGAGGAGCGAAAGCGUGGGGAGCGAACA
rnacentral:rRNA from 1 species